ensembl:lncRNA
GACGUUUCCUGCCUUGCUGCUGAACAGAAUGGUGGCUGAACUUUACGUCAAAGGGUAGUCCUAUAUCGGACACGUCUACCCUCGCCCCACCAUCCUCCGACACGACGGCAACCCGUAUUAUCUAUACGUUAAACCGCAUGUUGAACUGUGUGCCGAUCGGCGCUCACCGGCGACGCACUAACGGACAUCAGGACUGACUGAUUUCCCCAAGUGCAGGAGCACGAGGUCCAUAAGGACUCCAAAGACGGGCUUCCCAGAAGGUCUGCAUGCUCCACCCACGUUUCUGAUGAUCCUUUAGCGAAAAAGCCGAGUUGCUGAAGAGGAUUUGUAUAGUGCAGGUGCAUCCGAACGAGUGCCGUGUUCCGACUUGGACGUUCGAAAGAGGAACAGGACCGUGCUGCCAGCAAGCAAGGAGACAUCUAGUUUUGGCACAAAGCAAACCAUCUUUCAAUGGACUGCUCAUCGAGAAAUAACGGACAUCCACAUUUCACACGAAGCAAUACAGCAUAAUAAUGAUUCUUCAAAGCUGAGCACAUAUUUAGUGAGAUGUGCCAUCAUCACAGUCGACGCUUCGAGCAAGAUGCAUCAUACGCUUAUCCCGACAACUCGUACAUUUCGAAGAGUCGACUUUUACUGUGAACCGUUUGACUAAGGUCCCAGAGAGUGCAUCAGGGUUCUCAAUUAGGUCCUCUUCUGUGAAUGGCAUUUACUCACAAUUUACUCAUUACUACAAAUGACCAUGAAUGACCGAUUUUGUGGACUUUUAUUAAGGAGCACAAGCGUAUAUAAAUAUAUAUAAAUAUGAGAAUCACACAGAUAAUGGAAGAAACCAUGUGUGCCUCUGUCAGAGUAUACACAUUAUAGGCGACCUGGUCAUCAUAACAUUUUAGAUGCUAUGAAACAAUCAUAUAUAAAUUUGGUUUUGACCCGGUAUUAUUCAUGCUCAUAUGCUCUGCCAUAUUAUAUGUUCAAUAUGCAAUGUCUAAUCACUGAGCUUUUAGUGUGAGAUUAGUUUUCUGAAGUCACGUCGUGGUUUGCCUCAUUCUUGAGCCCUGCUUGUAAAAUUUGCUCACAUUCAUAUUUAACCAGUGCAUAUUUAUCUUAAGAUGCUAUAUCGCUCAGAUCUGCUACAUUCCGGUAAAGGUGUUGACUUGCAUCUCAGGUCUUUUUUUAAUUUUUAAUUUUAUUUAAAAAGUACGUACCAAGAGCAGAGCCUUUUAGAUUUCUCUUUCGCUUCUGGUCCAGUCGACUGUACCUGUACGUUACAUAGUUUUUAGGCCUGUGUGUUACCAUUCAUGCUAACACGUGCACUUGGCUUGACCAGCCAUUUAUCAUCAUAAAUAAAAUGCUUCCAGAACAGAAUAAUUAGACUCGAAAAAGGAAACGAUGGAAAGGGAAUAUUAAUUAUUUACUCUUUAAAAUAAAAUUUGUAUUAUUAUUAUUAUUAUUUUUAAAUGGGUUGAUUUGGAAACCCAGUGCUGGGUCCAAUAUGGACAAACCCAGCAUGGGUUGCUUGAACGCAGUGAGGUCGGGUUAGUAUGUUGAGCCAGUGUACUGGUUUGAUUUUCACAGUAGCUAGAAGUAACGAUAACAAUUAUGUAGCAGCCCAAAAUUGAACUGUUAAUGUAAUUAUGUAAUAAUUUAAAGAUCUAUCUUUACAUUUAUGAAGCCAAGAAGCCAAUUUCGGACACGUUUUCCCCUUAAAUAAACUUGGAUAGCGUUCUUGUCACAUGUCAGCAUUGUGUAUCAAGCCAAUGGGGGGGAGGAAAAAAAAACAGAGUUCAUUAUUGCCUGCAUAACUAAUAUCUAGUUAAUACAGAAAUUCAACUUGAAAUGUUUGUACUAAAUGAAAAGUUAUCUGUGAACAAAAAACAGAAACUACAUUGCUUGGUUUUUUUUUGUUUUUUUUGUGUGUGCGCGCCGCAUUGGUGCAGUGGAAAAUUUUGGAAAAAUGAAUGUUUCCAUGACAUGCCUGUUCCCUUUCAGCUCCACCCCCUUGACCCACCGUGCUAAGGGUCAUUAUACUGCUUACUCGUUUACUCGUAUAUUUUUCUCAAUGUUGCCUCAUUUUACAUGCAUUCCAAAUAUCAAUUGCUUCACGUGAAGUCUAUACCAAGCAUCAUCUAGACAUUUCAUGUACCUCAGUAGAUAUUAGGCUAGCACAGAGAGUUCAGAUUGCACAUAUAACGCGUUUUAAGGUGAAGGGAUACAUUCACGAAUCCUUUUUUGAUCCGUUAUUCCCGUCGACGUUCCGCUCAAAUCGGUUUAUUAAUAUCAAUAUCACCAUGCUGCGACUGAGAGACCGUGUGCAUGUGCGAGGAUUGCAUGUCACGCGAAGGUCAACGUCACCUGCCACGGCGUGUGCAUGUGUGAGAAAGAAAUGUAGAGACGGGUUAACUACGAGACUGGCGCGUUUCAAUAGUAGGGAUGGAAAUGAUCGUUACGCACAAUUGUAAAGAUUUGCCUAAGUGGGUUGGAGAGUGUAUGUCUUGUCCUUGGUUCAUAGCUAAUGGCACUUUUCUCUCUCUUUUUCUCCACUUCUGGUUCGCACGGUGUUUCUUCCCCUCCCGUUAGAAUGUGUCUCGUCGUUACGGGAGGUCAAUUUCAUUGCUUGGAGUUAAAUGAGUAAAUGGGGCUCAGAUAAAUGCGCGCUCAUUUGCCCCGAAUGGCCUUUAGAUGAACUACGGAGAACGAGUUUGGGUCGGACGAUGAACAGAAAUGCAUGCGCGCAACCAGAAAACGACCUUAAAUAUGUGCCCCCUCCAGAGAACUCAGAAAAUCAGCACUGACAAACUUCCUUCAGGUGACUCGGUGGCUUUACGGCUUCUACUUCCGAGCUGUUUCUUCUUAUGAUCCACGUACUGACUGCAAUGUUGAGUUAGUUAGGUUAUUAAACAGACAUAUGCAGUGUUGCAGACCUGCGUCUUGGCAUCGGGACUGUUGUGAGCAUGUGCAGAUUUAAUGUUCUACGUGUUGAAAAGACGUCGGCGUACGUUACUUUGUGAACACACUGAACGACAGACGUACGCGUAAUACAGUCACCGUCCGCUAUAUUAGGAGCGCUUGGACGUAUUGGCCGUACAUCAGGCGAUUACGUCACAGCAGUGCGAUGCAUAAAAUCAUGCAGAUAUCGCGUCGAGUUUCAGUUAAUAUUCGGAUCAAACGUUGCGUGGUACUUUUUUCCCCACGUUCUUCUAGACUGGAUGCCCAGUGUAGUCUUAGAGUCCUGUUUUUAGCUGACUGGGGUGGAACCCGAUUUGGUCUUUUGCUAGUGUAGCUCACCUGCUGCAAUUUUUGACAGGUUAGGAUGCUUUUCUGCUCAACACGUUUGUAAAGAGUGGUUAUUUGAGUUACCGUAGCCUUCCCGUCAGCUCGAACAAGUCCGGCCGUUCUCCUCUGAGCUUUCCUAUCAACAAGGCAUUUCCACCCAUAAAAAAUUAGCAGUAUCUGAAAUACACGAAGCAGCAGGUCACGAUCAAGGUCACGUGAACAUCAAGUGACGCUCAUGAUCUGUUAUCGGGACGAUUUUGCGCACUGCACUGCUGAAACGUGGUGGUGAUGAUCGCACGAACGUGCAAAUGUUCUUAAUAAAGUGGACAGUGAGUGUGUAUUCGAAACACAACGUUACCGCUUCAGGAGUAUGCCGUAUCCGUUUCAUUCUCUUCCGUUCAUCGUGUCCUGGUGUAGAAACCCUGAAAGGAAAAAAAAAGCCACAGUUUGUCAUGAAUUAGCGAAACAUGCUAAAACACGUUUUAAAUUAACGUACCAAGGUCGUCCUUUGUCAGAACAUUCACGUCCGUUCAUUUUUGUACCUUGAGUGCUGAAAAACACCGUCUGAUCACGACCUUGUCCGUUGCGUCAUCCAUUAAAGAAGAAAAAAAUAGAAAGAAAAAACCCGGUGGAAUCCUGUGGUGAAACUUCACGGUUCCUGACACACAUGAAGAUGAAGCAAUCAUGGUUGUACCAUAUGUCCUUAUAUUGAAUUCGUCAGAGUGUAUGUAAGAGCCUGAGUGAGAAUGUUAUUUUCUUUUUGUUAUUGUCUUUUUUUUUUUUUUUCUUUCUUCAGAUGUACCGGUGCACAAGUGCAAGGAAAGCUUGUCGUGCUGGCCGUUGUAUAUUCUCUGUCAUGUACUGAACUAUUUUAGAGGCAAAUAUAUUUGAAAUAUGAACCCAAAUAAUAUAAAUAAAU